UGGGGAAUACUGCACAAUGGGCGCAAGCCUGAUGCAGCCAUGCCGCGUGUGUGAAGAAGGCCUUCGGGUUGUAAAGCACUUUCAGCGAGGAGGAAGGUGGUGAGCUUAAUACGCUCAUCAAUUGACGUUACUCGCAGAAGAAGCACCGGCUAACUCCGUGCCAGCAGCCGCGGUAAUACGGAGGGUGCAAGCGUUAAUCGGAAUUACUGGGCGUAAAGCGCACGCAGGCGGUUUGUUAAGUCAGAUGUGAAAUCCCCGGGGCUCAACCUGGGAACUGCAUUUGAAACUGGCAAGCUAGAGUCUCGUAGAGGGGGGUAGAAUUCCAGGUGUAGCGGUGAAAUGCGUAGAGAUCUGGAGGAAUACCGGUGGCGAAGGCGGCCCCCCUGGACGAAGACUGACGCUCAGGUGCGAAAGCGUGGGGCAGCAAACAGGAUUAGAUA
rnacentral:rRNA from 1 species